GCUCCUGUUCGAUGAUAACAGUCGGCUGCGUGCGUGUUCCCUCUGUGUGCUGCCCCGUCUCUGCGCAGAUAGCCGACACAGCAAACCCGAGAGAACCCCCCAAAGACCACAGACUCUAGUAAGGGCUGUGUUCUGGUUGAGUCCCAGCAGUCAGCGUGGAGAUCCUUCUCAUGAUGAUGAUGAUGAUGAUGCCGCCGCCGCCACAGUCUCUGCCAGCACUGCUCUGUCCAAGGUCCUGUAGCUCCCUCAGCCAGCAAGGCACACUCCAGCAAGGAACUGAGUGACUUUGGUCAUGCAGCUCCUUUUAUGUGAACCUGCUGGCUCUAGCUUGGCUAUUCCCUCUGACCUCCCUCAUUGGCUGCUUCCCCACAACCACUCUAGGCUGCUUGGAGGACUUCUCUUCUGCUCCUCUCUGGGACAGGGUGUGGCAGGACUGCAGGGCCUUCUAGAAGGCCUCAAAGGGUCUGGUAUAUGCCAUCACACCUCCCCGAAUUGAUCUGAAUAUAUUUGUAAAAUUGAAAAAGAUAUUUGUUUAUUUUUGUUCUUACUACAGGGAGUGACCCAGCACACUGUCUUAGGUUUUCUUUCACUAUCCUGACCAAGGGGAUUGCUUUCACUGUCUUAAUAUGUUAAACCGAUUAAUGUUCCUUAAGAUAGCAUAAGUGGGAUUAUAGAGCUUUCAUCUAUACCUGGGACAUUAUUCUUUCCCUUUGCAAUUCCUUUCUCCAUCUCUGACAUUGGCUUUGGGUGAUGGUAGAAUUAAAGGUCUGACUGUUAUUUAUACAGCACUUAAAAUGUACUAAGAGCAUUACAAAGUAAAUAGCACAGGCUUUUGCCCUCAGAAGUCUAAGAGCUUGACUGUGCAUGUUCACUACUGUGCACUACUAACUGACCUUUGAUAUCCAUAGGAGUACUCACAUGAGUGAAGUUACUCUUCUGUGUGUUAGUACUGUGUUAGUGGGAUUGGGCCAUGUGACACAAUGAAUGCAUAACACACAGCGGAAGUGUCAGGGAGGACAAGAAUUACAGUGAUAAGAUCAAUUACUUAGUUUUGGUGUGUGCAUCUCUUAGUUCCAAUACAUGUAUUAAUUAUUUAUUUAAUGUUAACUCGCUUUGAGCUAUGUGGAAGAAGAGGGCUUUUAGGAGGCUUUUGAAAUGAGGAGAAGGUGCUGGCUAGCUGAACAGGGAACAAAUGGCCCUGGUGUCACUCCACAGGCAAAUGUUGUUUGCUUAGCCGUAUAGAUUUGAUUCCUAGUUUAGUUGUGCACCUAAUUAUUUAACUAUCCCAAAAUCUAUUUAGUGACCAAAUAGGACGGUGGUAUCCAUCCAGCAUUAGCAAUAAAGGAAAGAGAAUUAGGGAGGAAUUUGAACGCAUUCACAGAAAUAGGAGGUGUGCCUCUUAUACAUGGCAAGAGAUACCAGUAAACAAUGGCCAAAUCAUUGUCCUCUGUCAAAACACUUUGAAUACCUUUAAACUCUCCUCUGCCAUGAUGACUACCAAAAAAAAAAAAAAAGGAAAAAAGAAAAACUUAAUAGUAGUUAGGCAGCUGGUAUUCUUUGACCACUACUUAUCAGGCUGCCUAGUAUUGUCUCAUUGUUUCCUUGUACUCCCUGUUUGUUCUAUUCACCUGUUGUGCAUACUGAACUUAGAUUGUGAGCUGCUUUUUGUUAUGGUUUGUACAAUGCCUAGUACAGUGGGGCCCUGAACCAUAACUGUGGCACUUAAGCACUAGACCAAUACAAAUAGUAAGUGUGCUGGAAAGAAUUCCCAAGCCUUUUAUCAUCAAAUUCAUAUCCUCCUCAAAUUAGAUUGGAACACUAAAACCAGAGUGAACUGUAUUGUCUCUUUUCCUUCAGGUACUCAGAUAGGCCUAGGCCCGCAAAAUCCCACUCACAUAGGAGUGCAUAAGCUGUCUGCCAGCUCUGGCCACAGAAAUACCCCAUAGGGACAGCUUAAAGUCUGCUUUGUUCCACCAGAGUUUCUAACUCUCUUCCUGGGUCACCUUGAUGUCUGCUUUAUGGAACUGGCACAGAGUCAUCCAUUUUGACACAGUUUCUGCACUGAACAGGGAGACGGAAGAGAUGUUUGGAAAUUGGGUUGCGUGAAAAGGAGCAUCAGGAAUGUUCUGCACACAUUGGAAUCUCGACAGUUGAAACUUGGGGCUGUGAGGGGGCAUCAUGCCACACCCCCACUUCUUCCACAGAGAGAGUGCUCUGAGGCCUUCUUGCCUGUGAACACUGCCAUCUAGUUUAUUCACAGUGUUUUAAUCCCUCCACUGAUGCACAUUAGUAUUUCCACACCUUUAUACUGUAUCUGAGUUUUCUAA